CAGUAGCCACGGGAAUACGGAGGGGGCUAGCGUUGUUCGGAAUUACUGGGCGUAAAGCGCACGUAGGCGGCUUGGUAAGUUAGAGGUGAAAGCCCGGAGCUCAACUCCGGAAUUGCCUUUAAGACUGCCGAGCUAGCAGGUGAGAGAGGUAAGUGGAAUUCCGAGUGUAGAGGUGAAAUUCGUAGAUAUUCGGAAGAACACCAGUGGCGAAGGCGGCUUACUGGCUCAUACUGGACGCUGAGGUGCGAAAGCGUGGGGAGCAAACAGGAUUAGAUACCCGUGUAGUCCCUGUCUCUUAUAC
rnacentral:rRNA from 1 species